AUGGUUGGCGUCCACAUGCAUCAGAUGUGCAAGACCAAGAGCGCUAUGGCCGCCAUGGCGCCAUCCAUGGCCCGCUCCUCCAUCAAGGACUCGCUUCUGGACCUGCCCCUCCUCACCUUUGCCGAGUUCGUCACCGCCAGCGCCAACUUCUCCACUGCGCACUGCCUAGCCCCGUCCUCCAACUCCUUCCUUGCGUGCUCCACGGCCACCUGGCCGUCAUCUUCUGCCGCACGCUGCGGCAUGACCCGGUCGAGGUCUCACCAUGCUCGGCCACUGCCACCAAGCACCCCCGGCGGCUCCCUCUUCCUUUCCUACGAGCUUGUCCCGAGCGUGGCUCUGCCACGCCAGCAACCCCUCCAUCACGCCGCUUGCCUCCUAGCGAGCGCGGCUCCGCCUCGCCGCCAUUCCCCGACUCCUUGGCGUUGCUCCACCAAGGGCACGGGAUCUGGAGAUGCAGGGGCAGUGGUGGCCAGCGGGGGAGGAGAAGCAACUGUGGUAAUCGGGGCAAGGGUGUCCUGGUCUCUCCAUUAG
rnacentral:rRNA from 1 species